rnacentral:rRNA from 1 species
GGAGGUAGUGACAAUAAAUCACAAUGCGGAACAAUGUUUUGCAAUUGGAUUGAGAACAACGUACAAACCUUAUCGAUAAACAAUUGGAGGGCAAGUCUGGUGCCAGCAGCCGCGGUAAUUCCAGCUCCAAUAGCGUAUAUUAACGUUGUUGCAGUUAAAAAGCUCGUAGUUGAAAUGAAGGGUAGUUGUGUAAUGAAUACAUUCGUGUAUUUUUGUAUUAUACUACCCUCCUUCUAAAUUCGAUAUAUGAGUAUUAAUUUACUUGUAUAUGGUAUUAGACCUUUACUGUGAGAAAAUUAGAGUGUUCAAAGCAGGCAUUUGCUUGAAUAUAUUAGCAUGGAAUAAUCAUGUAUGAUUUUCAUGAUGUAUUUGAUUGGUUUGGUUCAUGAGAAUAAGAUUAAAAGGGACAGUUGGGGGUAUUCAUAUUCAAUAGUCAGAGGUGAAAUUCUCGGAUUUAUGGAAGAUGAACAAGUGCGAAAGCA